rnacentral:rRNA from 1 species
UACGAAGGGGGCUAGCGUUGUUCGGAAUUACUGGGCGUAAAGCGCACGUAGGCGGAUAUUUAAGUCAGGGGUGAAAUCCCAGAGCUCAACUCUGGAACUGCCUUUGAUACUGGGUAUCUCGAGUAUGGAAGAGGUGAGUGGAAUUCCGAGUGUAGAGGUGAAAUUCGUAGAUAUUCGGAGGAACACCAGUGGCAAAGGCGGCUCACUGGUCCAUUACUGACGCUGAGGUGCGAAAGCGUGGGGAGCAAACAGG